ensembl:lncRNA
UAUUAAUGGUAAAAGUUUGCUGUUUUUUCAGUAUGAACUCAUGAUCUCAUGAACUUUAAAAUAGCACCUUUUCUCUGAGACGUGCUGAAAUUGAACGCGUCCCAUGCUGAAGUGUCAAAGCUACCCAGAGCUUUUGUGUUUAAAAUGAAAAAUAAUGAAACACCAAACAGUGCUUACAGCACCUUUAAUUUAAUGAAUAAAAGAAUGACCCUAGCCUUAUAGUUUUGAUUUAGCAUUUGAAGUGAAUAUCAGAGUUUAUAAUAUACCAAACAGAUCAUAUUUCUAUCCGUCUCAUUAAUAUAUUUUCUUUGAAUAUACAAGAUUUCCAAUUCAUUGGUCGCCAAAUAACUAGAAGAAUAUGUAAAUCUAUUUGCAUUGCAAACCACCAUGUUCAUGAUUAUGAUAAUAAACUAAAAUAAUAUGACAGCAGAUGCCAGUUUGCAAUAUCAAGCAGCAUAAAUGACUGUUUUUGCACAGCUAAAGUAUAACCGGAUGACACUGGAAGCCUUGAACACUGCAUCCACUCUUAUGGUAAGAUAAUUUAGUCCUCGAUUAGCUUCUCCAUAUCGUCUGCUUUCAGUGGAGGAGAGUCCAGAGCCCCCAGAGGAGCGCGUGUGAGACGGGUACACAGCAGCUACUGAACACAUCCGUGUGAAAGUGCCAAUCUCAAGUUCUCACUCGUCUUUCCUCCAUUCACUUUAUUUCAUGGAGUAUGAGAAUAGACAUUUUUGUCUGGAUGUCUUAGCGGGGCUCCUCGCGCAGAUUUACAUUCUGCAGCGCUGGAUCUGUGUGGAGGCUGAAGAAAGGAAUUUAGGGCUGAGGAUGGGUGCUCAUCACCACCGCACUACUGGAUGAAGACAUAAAACUUUAUUUCCCGCCCAUUCCCAUGAAGCAGACUCUUAAAUAUCUGUGCAUAAUAUUGAAAUAGAAGUCAAAUAUAUUGUUUGUAUGUAUAUAAUCAACAUUUUUAUAAUUUUCAAACGUUUUACAUUUUAUCAUAUCAUUCUCAAUGUAUUGUAGUUCUUUCCCUCGAAUGACUAACACAGUCUCGUAACACCUUUUUCUUCAGUUAAUAAUGUUGUGACAUUAUAGAUAUAGAUAGGCCUGUAUAUCAGCCUAGUGCAAGGUUUAAAAACAAUAAGCUUUUGGUAUUCUAUCCAUGUAUCUCUAAAUUAUGGGGUGUAUUCAUUGGAAUAGAUUAAAAGACAGCUAAUGUUUGUAAUGUCAUGGAAUGUACGACUCCCCACUUUUUAUUCAAAAUUAUUUAAUAUAGCAAUUUUGCAUUUUCCAAUUCUGUCUAAACAUGUCCUAACUUUUGCCUGUCCAAUUAAUAAAACAAUAAUUCGUGAAAUAAA